rnacentral:lncRNA from 1 species
AUUUAAAUCAUUUCUAGAUUACUUAUAAUACCUAAUACAAUGUAAAUGCUUUGUAAAUAGUUGUCUCUGGGUGGCAGAUUCAGGUUUUGCUUUUGGGAGCUUUUUGUACAUUUCUUCCCCUUCCCCAAAAAAUGUUUUAAGCUGCGGUUGGUUAAACCUGUGAUGGGAAACCUGGCUAUGGAAGGCCAACCAUACUGGCCUCCAGAUGCGUGAAAAAAUGAAAAUUCUGUGUGUGACAAGAUAAACGCAUAUCUAGAAAUCACUCUGGAAACAUGGGAUGGUAAGAAUUUAGUUUUUCUACCAUGAAUUAGAUACGGCUCACCCUCUCACUUCCUUCAGGUCGCUGCUGAAACAUCACCUCCAUGAGGCCCUUCCUGGCACCACUGUACCAAGUAUGCUGCCCUUUACUCUCUCUGUGCCUUGCUCUGCAGUUCUCCUCAUCAGCAGCUGACACGCUGUACAUUUGUUCAGUCUCUGUCCCCAACCAGAAGGCCAAGAACUUGAAAACUGACAUUGUCUUCCCUGCUAUAUGCCUGGUUCCUUGAAAGUGCCUGCCAUGCCAACGGACCCAGGGAAUCACAUCCAUCUGCCUGCCAGUCCAUCUACCCACCAAAAUAUCCACCCACCAUGUGGUAAACACCAGCUGUGAUCUAGACGCUAUGAUGGAUGUUCUGUCAUAGGAGAAAGACACACAUGAGUGAGGCAGUCGAGGUUUCUGCUCUAAGAGAGACAGAUGCCAGGCAGAGGUGUGGCUACAAACUACAAAACUAGGAGUUCCUGUUGUGGCUCAGUGGUUAACGAACCCAACUAGCAUCCAGGAGGAUGUGGGUUCAAUCCCUGGCCUUGAUCAAUGGGUUAAGGAUCCAGCAUUGCAGCGGCUAAGGGGGUUACCUACAUAAAGACUGGGAAGCACUUAGGAAGGUCCAGGGUGGGAAGAGCUUGGGGGAUGUGGAUGAGGGAGAAAGCGGCAGGAAGGACCAGAAGAAGUCAAACCCCAUCUGGCAGACAGAGGAGUCACCUGGAAUUGAGUCAGUGGCAGCCAAGGAUCGACUUUGUGGACGAGAUUUAUGGAAGCAGGGAACAGCGACCAGAGACAUUCGUUCUCACAUCAAUUAUCAAAGAGUAUUAAUAUUAACUAAUAAAACAUGGGUUGAGGAGUUCCCUGGCGGUUCAGUGGGUUAAGGAUCCAGCAUUGUCACUGCUGUGGCUCAGGUUACAGUUGUGACUCGGGUUUGAUCCCUGGCCCAGAAACUUCCACACACCAUGGAGAAGUGCAAACUAAAUCCAAACCAAAUGAAGGAAAAAAUUACCAAAGAAUGGAGAUACAUAAAAUACAGCAUUUAAAAAUACAGAAAAAUCCACAAAAAUCUAAGGGUUUUGUUUGUUUGUUUUUAAAGAUCAACAAAAUUAACGAACAUUUUCACAGGCCCAGCCCAAACUUUUUUUUUUUUAAAUAUGGGGUGAAAUCCCCAUUUGUUUCUGCAUCAGUGAAAGUGCUUCUUAAAGGUCUGAGAAAACCUUGGAAUGAGGGGUAAAUGCAGCUAAAACAUUUUUUGGCAACAGAAUGCCACCGCUUUGACAUCGUCCUUCAGAGUGAUGUUUCUGGAUGGAGAGUGGGGUCAAGAACGUUCAGGUUCAGGGGACUGGAUUUAAUGUGCAGAGUCUUAAAGACAAAUCCUUAGAAGACUGGAUUUUCUUUUUGACUGGAGCAAGAUAUCUUGUGUUAUUUCCUGGGGUUUAUUUCCUCCUCCUAAAAUUACAAUACAUUCCAAAUGUUGCAUAAAAUGAAAGAGGAUCUCCUUAUUGAACUAUUAGCUCCUUGAAGGGAGGCAGUAACUCUGGAUUUCCAGCACCAAGAUUAGUGCCUGGCCCAGAAAAUAGCCUUAAAACAAGUAUAAUGAGAUGAAAAAGUCCCCGUUUAAAGACUUUGCCUGGUCUGGUUUAGCCCAGAUUCAGCUCUCAAUCCGGUGUCUGCCUCAUGCUGGCUAUAGGGUUACAGGCUCUGGAACUGAUUUUCCAGAAAACCCGAUGAAAGGAGGACUUAGGAAGAGCACCCAUUUUGAAGCCUGGGACUUAGCCGUCAAUCAAUAAGUGACAGGGAUUACUGCUUUGUCCGUAAAAUGCCCAAUGAUUGUUCAUGUAACUUUCGCAUUGUCAUCUUAAGUCUCUUCUAUCAGAAUCCUAACUUGGCACAAAACUGCUAACCCAUGGAACAUUCUGUGGUCACACGGCCCCAUAGGACCAGGAGGAAUGCAGCCUGUCUGGUCAAAAACUAAUGCAAAAGGUCUCAGUGAUAAAAGGGCCACCAACAAAAGCAAGUCAGGGUUAUGGGUGGGAGAAAGGCCACCAACUUUCCCACCAGCUGGAUACAAUCUCAACAAAGUCACCCUCAGGCCACAUGCCCUCAUUUUCCACCAUGGCCUCUGCCCCGAGACCCUCCGGCCAGGGCACAGGAGCCCAAGAGAAUGGAAUGAAUACCUCAGGUGGCUGUACCUUCCUGUAGAACUGUCUUCCUUUGUCAAUAAUAAAAGGUCAGCGGUGGACAUCACACCAAGAAAACAAAGCAUCCAAGUGGAUGACAGUCCUUA